ACCAUGAUCUAAGUAGUCCAAACUAACACCAAAAUAUGAAUAUUCAAAUCUGCUAACUACAAAAUAAACUAACUAUAAACAAUAAAAUAAUCAUAAUAUAAAACUUUUAGCACUCAAAUAUUCGACAGAUUCUUUGAAGAUAAUUGCUCGAAAUAAACUAAACCAGGCCGAUCUUUCAUCAACUUCUACUAUAGAAAAGAACCUGCAUUUACAAGUUUUGGAAAAUUACCUGAAAUGCAAAAAUUCAGCAACAAAGGUAGCAAAAAUCAGCAGCAGGGACAGUACAAACAAUAACAGCAACUCAGUGUUAAGAUAACACAGAAUACUUGAAACUAGUAGCUAACAACUUCAUGAAUUGCCCGAGAGAUCCUUCUAUUUUUCUCAAAGUUUUUGCACUCUCAGAAACCCUCUCUAAGAUCAGAAUUUUCAGCCUCUUAUUUAGGUGUUCUGUUGCUUUUUUUUUACCCCCAAAGUUCUAUAUUUUUAGUGUGUAAAAUAUCUAGCAACUAUGUGAUAGAUUAUCUGUAUCAAAUGAGUGAGAGGAGACCUUAAGUAGGAAAAGCAAGUACCUUUGGAUAGAUUUUGGUUUACCAAAAACUGUCCAAAAAAUUUACUUUUUCUCACCAAAAACCUAUUCAAGGACUGUCCAAAUAGCAUAAAGGACAAUCCUUUUGACUAAAUUAAAACACAAAAAGAGUAGUUGUACUCUUACCAUGCUUCAAUAGUAGUAACCAACUAUGUACUCUACUCAAUCAUUCAUUUCUACCUUCAACUUUAGCAUUAGCAACUAAAGGACAAUAUUUCAUCAUAACUUAUAAAAGCUAACAGAAGACUAUUAUAAUUGUAAAUCAAUUGAAUCGCUCCGAUAAUGAACCAAAUUAACUAGUUAAUUUGAACUUCAAUCAAAUUAAUCACAUGAAUCAAAAUCUAAAAGAUCUAAUACAAGUAUUAAGAGAUUGUUAACAAGCACAACCAAACUGUAGUUAUGAAAAAAACUGAACAUAUGACCAACCCAAUUUAGAAAAAUAAAACAGAACCUAAAGUAAAUUAAAACUAAAUUUAACAUAAAAUAAAGAGGAGAGAAAAUGAAAAAGGAUUAUGAUUUCAAUAUGUAUUAUCUUUCAAAGCGAUUAUCAAACUAAUCAAAGAAGAAAUGGUUGACAGAACUUAAAACUGUACUAAAACACCAAAAUCAAUCACAAAUAAAAUGGGGAGAAAGUGAAUCGAUAUAACCCAACUUCAAAUAUCCGGGCAGUAGCAGUAGCACGGUGGCAUUGACGGUUGCUCGGCUCGAGCAACCUUCGAUUCUUGAUAUUCUCAAAACCAAGAACUCUGGCGAAUCCGAGUCCGGUUUCAAUAAUAUCAACAACACAACCUUGCUCGAGGCCGGUUUGAAAAGAGAAACGAGAGAUAAUGGCGGUUGAGGGGUGACAGCGGUGGAUCGGCAGUGGGGUGGCCGGAUGGCAGCUUCGCCGGAGAUUGGGUCAAACUCAUUAUAAAAGGGUAGCCCCCGCCUAGCUCCAUCUAUCUAUGUAAAAAUUAGGUAGAAAUGAUGGUUCAAUCUCCACGACUUAGUCAAAAGUGGUAGCUGGGAUUUUGAUUUAGGCUAGAUUCGUAGAAUUUGGUUGGGAUUCGGAGGAUAUGAGACUUGGAUUCAUGGAGAAGUGAUUGAGAAGAAGAAACGGUAAAAUUAUAGGGUGGUUUGGAAGCUGGCCACCGCCGGUGGCAAAUUCUGUCGGGCGCCGCCGCCAUGGGUUGCCUGCGGCAGUGGAGAGGAGUGGAGAGAGUGAGGAGAUAAGUUUAGGGUUUGGAUUGGGUGGGUAAAUGAGGGCCAAAAUCUGAUUUUAGGGGCGUUUAAUA
rnacentral:lncRNA from 1 species